ensembl:processed_transcript
GCAUUCUGGGUUUACUCCAAAAUGGCUGCGCCCUUGCGCAAGUGUUAAAAAAACACUUAUCUCGCCUGAAAGUCAAAUUAACAUCUUAGGUUUCACUGUGUUGAUCAUCAUCGAGGACGACAGACAGUGCACACAAAUAAAUCAGUGGAUUAAGGUAUUUCGUGCCUGCCCUGAUUCAAGCAGAUUGCAUUUUAAGGGACAUGACGAUGGGCCGCUUCGCCUAACCCACAUCAAAACGCAGACCAGCGCAGAUACCCCUGUCACCCUGCGCCUGCAGGCCCUGUACAGACUGAUUUGUGUAAUCACCCGCAGAGGCAACGGAUCUACAGCUCGAGCUUUGGAGGACUGUUUAUUUUGGAGAUUUUUUUUUUAAUGAAAAUGGAUGCUGAGCUGCUUCACUCCCCUGUCUUGGGUCUGGCAGAGGAGGAGGAGGUGGACAUGACUGACUGGAACCUUCCACUGGCCUUCAUGAAGAAACGCCACACAGAGAAGAUUGAGGGAUAUAAAGCUUUGGCUCAGAGCUGGAGAAUGAAAGACAGGGUAAGCUUUUUUUUUUUUUUUUUUUUGGUUGCUUGUAAACUGUUGUAUAUUAUUAACUUUAUUUCAUAUAUUACCGUUUCAUUUGAGUUUUUCUUUUUCAAAAUACAUGAUGCUAUCCUUCAAAAUUACAUGAAUGAUAGCAUGGUAUAUAGAAGGUUAUAAACUAUAUUAACUCUUUUCUUGCCAUUCAUGGCCUUCAGCCAUAAAAAGCAAUUUUAAUAAUUUUCAGCUAGUUUAACAGCUCUCUGAAAAUGUUCUGCCAUGAUAAUU